rnacentral:rRNA from 1 species
CCUACGGGUGGCUGCAGUGAGGAAUAUUGGUCAAUGGACGAGAGUCUGAACCAGCCAAGUAGCGUGAAGGAUGACUGCCCUAUGGGUUGUAAACUUCUUUUAUAUGGGAAUAAAACAGGGUAUGCAUACCCUCUUGUAUGUACCAUAUGAAUAAGGAUCGGUUAACUCCGUGCCAGCAGCCGCGGUAAUACGGAAGGCCCGAGCGUUAUCCGGGUUCAUUGGGCUUAAAGGGAGUGUAGGCGGGCGUUCAAGUCAGCUGGAAAAUCGCGCGGCACACCCGCGCACCGCAGUUGAUACUGGACGCCUUGAGUGCACAACAGGCAGGCGGAAUGCGUGGUGUAGCGGUGAAAUGCAUAGAUAUCACGAGGAACCCCGAUUGCGAAGGCAGCCUGCCGGGGUGCGACUGACGCUGAGGCUCGAAGGUGCGGGUAUCAAACAGGAUUAGAUACCCGUGUAGUC